GGAACGCGAAGAACCUUACCUACUCUUGACAUCCAAAGUACUUUCCAGAGAUGGAAGGGUGCCCAAGGGAACUUUGAGACAGGUGCUGCAUGGCUGUCGUCAGCUCGUGUUGUGAAAUGUUGGGUUAAGUCCCGUAACGAGCGCAACCCUUGUCCUUAUUUGCCAACGUGUAAUGACGGGAACUUUAAGGAGACUGCUGGUGAUAAACCGGAGGAAGGUGGGGACGACGUCAAGUCAUCAUGGCCUUAACGAGUAGGGCUACACACGUGCUACAAUGGCAAAAUACAAAGGGUCGCAAAGCGGUAACGUGAAGCUAAUCCCAAAAAAUUGUCUAAGUUCGGAUUGGAGUCUGCAACUCGACUCCAUAAAGUCGGAAUCGCUAGUAAUCGCGAAUCAGAAUGUCGCGGUGAAUACGUUCCCGGGCCUUGUACACACCG
rnacentral:rRNA from 1 species